GAUGAACGCUGGCGGCGUGCCUAAUACAUGCAAGUCGAGCGAACGGACGAGAAGCUUGCUUCUCUGAUGUUAGCGGCGGACGGGUGAGUAACACGUGGAUAACCUACCUAUAAGACUGGGAUAACUUCGGGAAACCGGAGCUAAUACCGGAUAAUAUUUUGAACCGCAUGGUUCAAAAGUGAAAGACGGUCUUGCUGUCACUUAUAGAUGGAUCCGCGCUGCAUUAGCUAGUUGGUAAGGUAACGGCUUACCAAGGCAACGAUGCAUAGCCGACCUGAGAGGGUGGUCGGCCACACUGGAACUGAGACACGGCCCAGACUCCUACGGGAGGCAGCAGUAGGGAAUCUUCCGCAAUGGGCGAAAGCCUGACGGAGCAACGCCGCGUGAGUGAUGAAGGUCUUCGGAUCGUAAAACUCUGUUAUUAGGGAAGAACAUAUGUGUAAGUAACUGUGCACAUCUUGACGGUACCUAAUCAGAAAGCCACGGCUAACUACGUG
rnacentral:rRNA from 1 species